CCGGCUUGGCAUUUCGGUGAUCAUGUCGAGGUGCAAGGUGUUGCGAGGUUCAUGUAUAUCCAAUACUAUGAUGUUAUCAAUGCCGGAGAGCCUCAGAAAGUCGAGAUUUUGCAGCAAUGUGUUCCAAGGGAAAGAGAAGCAUUAUCAGUCAUUACAGAAUUACCAUCAGUUAUAAUUCAAAAGAAAAUCAUAUGGAUUUUAAUAAAGUCCCAGAAGAGGAUGUCAAGGAAGAGAAUAGAGGAAGUGCGAAAAGAAAGAAAAAGGGAAGGAGGUAAAUAGCGUGAGCCUAAAAUUAUCAUAAAAGGGAAGCGGGAAGUAGGAAUUAGCUUUCGAUGAGAGAUCCAAGCUUCAAUUUCCGAGACUUUUGGUCGCCAAUCGGAAGCUCUAUGGAAGAAAAUGGCAACAACCAAUGGAGCAUUGACUUCAGCUGCAGGAAGUCAGGCCAACAACCAAAAUCUGAGGCGUGGAAGAAACACUCGAAGCGCUGAACGCAGCGGAUCGGUGCAGAGGAAGAAUCUGCCAAUCGGCUGAUGGACACCACCACCG